UUCAUCACUGUGGUUGCCUCUAAGACUCAGUCGUUGCCCAUUGGUUGUUUCUCAUCUAAUUUCUUUCUCUAAUUUCCUUCCCCUGAUUUGAUACUGAACUCUGUUUGGUUGUCUCUUUUCUUCUGAUUUCUUGCCAUUUCUUCAAAUAUAUUCAGUUGACCAUAAAAAAUUUUCAUUUGAAAAUCCCCGGGUAGUCAGGGUUGGGGAGAUACCCAGUAGAGACUCAGCCACAGGCCUUUAGCUUCAAGUACAUAAUUGCAUUCUCAAGCAAAAUCCUUAGGAAAAAAAAAAAUUCCUGGCAAACAUAGAAGAAAUAGGAUCU
rnacentral:lncRNA from 1 species